rnacentral:lncRNA from 1 species
AAAACUUAAAGCACAAGUGAAUCAUUAUUUUCAUCCAUAAUUGUGAGUUAAAGUUGUGAGUCAUGAAUCAAAGAAUCGCCUAGUAAAAAAAACAACUAAAAAAACAUAAGUAACUUUACUAAAUAUUUUAAUAUAAAACCAUUCAUAGAAUUGAUAAUUUUGUAAAUUGGUUACCUUCCAUUUCCUUGCAUAAUCAACUUUGAGCACAUAUUAAGG